AAAAAUUAAAUAAUCACUCGCACUCAUAAGUAAGAAACGCCCUUUGUCAUGGUCAUUAAAAAUCUUAUAUAUUGUUGUCUUUUUAACUUGUUCUCGUGAUCUAAAGCUCGUAUGUUCCAUUUGCUAUUUCUUACUAGCUAAAUAAGAAAAAGAAAAUGAAAAACAAAAAAUAAAUCCUCCAUUUUCUUUUUUUUCUUUUUCCUUCCUUUCAAUCUUUAACCUCUUAAUAAUACACACCUGACUCACCUUUCUUCUUCUUUUUUUUUUUUUUUUCUAUCCUCCAAGUAUUAAGACCUUUGAUUACACUUUAUAAAGAUCCAAAAGUACUAAGGAGUCCUAUAAAAUUAAUUAUGUUGAUCAAGACAUAUAUGUUUUUUUUCAAACACUCAUUUUCAUUUUCUAAGUUAAAUUUAUUUUGAGAUUAUAUCUUUUAAUAUUUUUUGUUAUGUUUCUCUCAUUUUUUCUCUUUCUUUUCUUUUUAUCCUUUCAUUAUCUAAAUUAUUAUUGUGACCUUAAUGUGAGAGAAUUGCUUUCAUGUAAUUUGAUUUAGAAAAGGGGUGCCUAUGCUUUUGAUUAGCAUAAAUUUAUUCUACUAUACGCUUAAUUUGUUGAAUGAUUUUCUAUUUAGUUUUUUUUUUUUUUUAAAUGCUAAUCAAACCCAGAUCUCCAAAAGCCCAAUGUUCAAACUAUAUAGUUUAGUUGUAAGGGCAAAUUCUUUUUUUUUUUUUUUGCAUUUAGUUUUAAUUAUUAUAUUGGGUCUUAGAAGAAAUUUCAUUUUUUCAAGUGAAAAUUAAUACAGAGUUGAUGUUUCUAUUUAAUAUAUGGAAUGUUAAAGAUGAUUAAAACUCAAAGGUAUAAUUAUAUGAUUCUCAAAAAAGAGGAAUGUAAUUGUAAUUAGAGUCAAACUUAAGGGGAGAAAAAUAACUUUCUCUUAAGUAUAACAUCAUCCUUAUACAAAUACUUGGACAAUAGUCCUAUUAAUACUAAAAUUUUGCAAUUUAUUUUUAGUUGGUACUAAUUUUUCUAUCUUUUUCUUUUUGAUAUGCUAAUUUUUAUUUUUCUUUCAAACCAUGUUAGUUAAAAGAAAUCUAAUUAAUUUUUGAUGAUAUAGAAACCUGAUAUGAAAUAUCCCUUAGUUAUUUGCUACAUAUUAGGAUACAUUCAAGACAUUAUAUCACUUGGACGGUUUAAGUAGCAAAUUGGCCCCUGAAUUAUCAAGGAAGGUCUAAAUCUGCCCAAAAUUAACUAUUUGGCCUAAUUACCUUUUAUUGUUAUGAAAAUUGCUUUUGUGUCCCUUAAUAAACUCCCAGCUUCACGCGUGCAUAGAACGCACUCAGUCAAUUGAUAAAAUAAUAUAAAAUGAAAGUUUUAUCUCAAAAAAAAAAAAACUGAAAAAAGGCAGAUAAAUUUAAUUAAUAAGUUAAACCUGACAACAUUCAUUCUCCUUCCUCAUUGAUUGAAGCUACAAUAUUCUUUUAUUUUUAUCAAAAUUAAAUCCUUAACAAUGUCACAAUCUAAUUCAUACUCUUCUUUCUUAGGAUUUUCGUCAGGUAACCAUAGAUCCUUUGCUAGAAAAAGGAACGAGGAAGUGUUUUUGUGGAGAGGAAGCUCCUCUUCUAAUUUCAUGGAGCGAGUGUCACCCGGGUAUGAGGUAUUUCACAUGCCCAACUGUAAUCGCAAUGAAGAGAAUAAAAUAUCAAUUUUUUGAAUGGUACGAUGGUAAGUUCACCGGCAGGUCAGUGGAAAUGAUAAACGAGCUUAAAGGUGAGUGCGAUUUUGAGACAGAGGUCAAGUGUAGUUGACAAAACCAGUGCUGUUAGUCACAGUAGAGUGGAUGAGUUGGAUUUUUAAAUCGAAGGCUUGAAGGAGGAGCUUGCUAUUAUUAAGAUUGAAGUACAACAGAAGUUAAAUAAAGCUUGUAGUUUUUAUGUUUGUGUUCUGUAAUUUAAUUUUUAUAAUGCUGAAAUAGGUUGGUUAUAUGUUAUGAAGGGAUUGGUAUUAGGUUGUUUUGUUUAGUUGUAUGUUCUGUGAACUCUUCUGCAGUAGAUUUUGCAGAUGUAAAUUUGAAAUAUUAAUGAAAAUAUUCAUUUUCUUGUUGAUUAA